rnacentral:lncRNA from 1 species
UCCGAUACGAUGAGUGACGUCCCCAUCAAUCUCUCCGUCCCCCUGCAUCACCGACCCAAGAUUCUGACAUUGUCCCUCUUGACGAUGACCCGAGAUCCAAUCAUCACGUCUCUACCUACUUCGCUCAGCUCGGUGCUCUACUUGCACUCCAGGCAUUCAGUCUUAGAUCAGCUUAUUUUGAAACCCUUAGACUCGAGAGUCUGUCUCCAUACCUCUA